AUCUUCACCCCAAUGCCCCCUGAAGCCCCUGAGCAGCCUAGUAGUGGAUAAAGGCAUGUUGAAAGUGGGGAUCCCUGGAAAAAUGGUGGUGCCUUGAGGAGUGGGAGUGGCAGAACCCACACCUCUCUACUCAGGAUUGGAAGAUUUCCUUCUUUGCCCCGUAAGUGAAUUUCAAGAAAUCACAUCCAGGCCUGAGAGAGGUCACAUCCCACAGUAAUUAUCAAGGUAUACGCUUGGCUAAGUUUAGAGGACACUGUCUAUUUUCUGAAGCAGAUGUUGACAUGGAAGCUGCCAUUAUCGUCAUGGUGAUCUGUUUAUUUACAUCCAUCCUGAGUACUAGAAGACAAGAUGAACAUCUGUGAGUCUCAAUUUCAUCACCUGCAAAAUGACCAGACAGUCUCCAGGGGCUCCUCCGAUGUUCUAUAAUCCCAUAAUGGAAGCAGCCCUGGACGGUUGAGCUGACCU
rnacentral:lncRNA from 1 species